AAAUGCGAUAAGUAGUGUGAAUUGCAGAAUUCAGUGAAUCAUCGAAUCUUUGAACGCACAUUGCGCCCUUUGGUAUUCCAAAGGGCAUGCCUGUUCGAGCGUCAUUUGUACCCUCAAGCUUUGCUUGGUGUUGGGCGUCUUGUCUCUAGCUUUGUUGGAGACUCGCCUUAAAGUAAUUGGCAGCCGGCCUACUGGUUUCGGAGCGCAGCACAAGUCGCACUCUCUAUCAGCAAAGGUCUAGCAUCCAUUAAGCCUUUUUUCAACUUUUGACCUCGGAUCAGGUAGGGAUACCCGCUGAACUUAAGC
rnacentral:misc_RNA from 1 species